rnacentral:sRNA from 1 species
UAAGUGGGAGGGCCAGGAAAGAAGCCAAGCAGAAUGAGCUUGCUUUUGAAUCCAUCUUUAGCAGGUCAGAGAGCAGCUCUCCUCGACGGGAGAGAAAGAAAAGCUCAAAGAAGAAGAAGCACAGGUAUGAGGUGGGAAUACUUGAAUGAUUGGAGAAGGUUUGCUGAAUUCAGGCAGAGGUGUUUCUUAUGUUUUUUCUUCUCUUUUUUCCAACAGGUCAGAAUCUGAGUCCAAGAAACGUAAGCAUAGGUCUCCCACUCCAAAGAGCAAACGUAAAUCUAAGGACAAAAAGCGAAAGCGGUCUCGAAGUACAACACCAGCCCCCAAGAGCCGCCGGGCCCACCGUUCAACUUCUGCUGACUCUGCUUCCUCCUCCGAUACUUCCCGCAGUCGGUAAGGGGUAGUCCAGGAGGAAGGGAGGGAGAGGGAAUGAUGGGUUAAUUAAUUUAAUAUUUAUUGAGCGCCCACGGUGUGCUAGGCGCUGCACAGACCAUUCGGAAGACACGGUCCCUGCCCUCUAGGAGCUGACAGGCUAAAGCAACAGGAUGGACAGACAUAUACAUUUCCCCUUCUCU